rnacentral:rRNA from 1 species
GUGCCAGCCGCCGCGGUAAGACGUAAGGGGCGAGCGUUGUCCGGAAUUACUGGGCGUAAAGGGCACGCAGGCGGUACACCAAGUCGGGGGUGUAAAGUUACGGCUCAACCGUGACCUUGCAAUCGAUACUGGCGUACUGGAGUGCGGGAGAGGGAAGUGGAAUUCCCGGUGUAGCGGUGAAAUGCGUAGAUAUCGGGAGGAACGCCAGUGGCGAAGGCGGCUUCCUGGCCCGCGACUGACGCUCAUGUACGAAAGCCAGGGGAGCGAACCGGAUUAGAUACCCGGGUAGUCCUGGCCGUACGAUGGGUGCUAGGUGUAGGCGCGUCAAGCGUCUGUGCCGCAGUUAACACGAUAAGCACCUCGCCUGGGGAGUACGGUCGCAAGGCUGAAACUUAAAUGAAUUGGCGG